rnacentral:misc_RNA from 1 species
GAGUGAAGAAAGCGAAUUCAUAUAGCCGACUCCAAAUUUAUGGGAUAAAGGCUUAGUUGAGUUUAGUUGAGUUGAGUUAUUGCAGUAGAUACUGCCUUCAACACGCAUUUCAUUGACCCAGAAAACCUAAUUAAAGAUUAAAGUUGCCAUUCUACUUUUCUUCAGUUGCUUGGAUUAGAAAAAUUAAUUUGCUCAUUUACUGGCUUGACAAGGAUAUCAUGUUGUAGUGGUUGCAAUACUUUCUAGGUUUGUUCAAGUACAACGUAAGCAAUAUUCAGGAACUUAUUUUCACAUAAUAUUUAAAUAUAUGACUGAGGUGGUAAUUAUUAGAUGACUGAUACUUGACUGGGUUUUAGCAAAUAUAAGAAUGAGACCUCUGAAUUUCUCUGUUUAUGCCCAUAUAUCAAUUCUUCUUUGGUCUUUCGAUGUUCCAUGAUAAUCUGCAUAGCAUAGUCACAUGUUACAGUGAAAUUCAUGUUCCUCUGAGCUAGAGUCUGUGGUUAAACAAUUGGCAUUUAAUCACUCUAAGCAUAUGCUGGCAUCUUGUGGCCCUCAAACUCCAGAACAGAACAUCUAUCUUGAUUUUUAGGAAUUCCUUUCUUGUUGUGAUCCUUUCCAGCUGAUUUUGGUGGAUGGACUCGGA